rnacentral:rRNA from 1 species
UACGUAGGGUGCGAGCGUUGUCCGGAAUACUGGGCGUAAAGCGUGCGCAGGCGGUUUUGUAAGCCAGAUGUGAAAGCCCCGGGCUUAACCUGGGAAUGGCAUUUGGGACUGCAAGGCUCGAGUGCGGCAGAGGAGACUGGAAUUCCUGGUGUAGCAGUGAAAUGCGUAGAGAUCGGGAAGGAACACCAGAGGCGAAGGCGGCGACCUGGACAAGUACUGACACUCAACUACGAAAGCGUGGGGAGCAAACAGG